rnacentral:lncRNA from 1 species
AGAAAGCGGAUUUAGCUUGGCAUGUGAAGCUGCCGAAUGAAAACAUUUCAAGUAUGCAACCUAGACUUGUUUUUUCCCCCCUGAAAAGGACUAAUAUGGAAAUCUCAGCUCAUAGAGACCCCUCCGGAAGUUCUUCACAUUACUGAGCGGUAUUUAUACCCCAGCAGGACUUGCUUGAAUACAAGGAACGCCAUCUAAUGAAAAUCCCAUGCCGCAGGCUGAGCUGGAGGGAGCAUCGUGAGUGGCUCAGACCCAGGCCUUCAAGGCAAGGGACAGACACCGUCUUACUUGGUUUGCGGUGGAAUAUCUGGAAAAAGCAUUGGUUACAUUUUUUGUAACCCUUGGCUAAUGAGUCCCAGUCAGUGGAGGCUGAGCUAAACACCACACAGGCAGCAGACCAUCAGCUCGCUUCUCAUGAAUGCAAAGAAGAUGUCAUGGAAUCAGGUCUUAUCUUUUCAUGUAACCUGGCAGCUAAUUUCUCCCUUAAUUAGUUGUAACACCGUUUAUGCAAAACAAAGGAUUUUCUUAUUUCCUUAAACAAAAA